AUCGAACGCUGGCGGCAGGCCUAACACAUGCAAGUCGAGCGAGCGGCGGACGGGUGAGUAAUGUCUGGGAAACUGCCUGAUGGAGGGGGAUAACUACUGGAAACGGUAGCUAAUACCGCAUACCAUCGGAUGUGCCCAGAUGGGAUUAGCUUGUAGGUGAGGUAACGGCUAACCUGGGCGACGACCCCUCGCGGGUCUGAGAGGAUGACCGGCCGCACUGGAGCUGAGACGCGGUACGAGCGCCAACGAGAGGCAGCAGUGGGAAAUAUUGGACAGUGGGCGCAAGCAUGAUGCGGCCGUGCCGCGUGUAUGAGGAAGAGCUUCGGGUUGUAAGGUACUUUCAGCGGGGAGGCGUUACCCGCAGAAGAAGCACCGGCUAACUCCGUGCCAGCAGCCGCGGUAAUAC
rnacentral:rRNA from 1 species